AAGUCGUAACAAGGUUUCCGUAGGUGAACCUGCGGAAGGAUCAUUACAGAAUAAACCUGGCUUGGUUGUUGCUGGCUCUCUCGGGAGCAUGUGCACGCCAGUCACUUUUAUCUUACCACCUGUGAACACUUUGUAGAUCUGGAGGCAUCUUCACAGACUCUUUUGUCUGUGGUUUUUGGAAGCUUUGUCGUUUUUCACUUCAUUGUGUUUCCGACUCUUCCUGGCCUUCAGGUUUAUGUCUUUACAUCUACACCAUAAGCAUGUAAACGAAUGAAUCAAUGGCAGCUUCAUUGCAGCCUAUAAAACUUAAACAACUUUCAGCAACGGAUCUCUUGGCUCUC
rnacentral:misc_RNA from 1 species